rnacentral:lncRNA from 1 species
CGUGACGCGGAAGUAUCAGAAACGCCGAGAGCGGCGCAGCGACAGGAGGGCCGGGGCGGGGGGGGGGGGGGCGGGGGCGGGGGGGGGGCGGGGGCGGGGCGGGGCCGGCACAGCCCCUCCCAGUCUCCACCGCUCCCGAGCACGAGCUCAGGGCCACCACCUGGGCUCACGGGCAGUCCCCACCCCCUCCGCCCCGCCCCAGGCACCCGGCCAGGGCCUUCGGCGCACUGGCAGUCAAGGCCGGCGGUCCGGACUCCGGGAAGCCCCCGGGUCGCUACCCGCGCGCGGCAGCCACCGGGCACAAGGAGGCUCGCCUCGAUCGCCGGCUACACAAGCCCUACGGACCGCUCGCCAAGGGUCUUCCUCACGGGUCCGCGCUGUCGCCGGCGGCGCGAGCGGCCGGGGCCCCCGGAGACCAGUCAGCGGCAGGACCGCGGCCCCGCCGCCUCAGCGCUUCAAACCUACAGGGCACCUAAACAGCCCGAGGCUGUAAAGGCCACCAGCGGGGCUGUGCGCCCCAGACACCCCGACCGCCCAAGGCUCCGCACCGGGUCGUCUCUCCGACACCUGGCUUCGAGACUUCAGACUGAACACGGCCCAGCCCAACCCACCCAAAGCCUCACCUCCGCAAAACCAAAAGGCCCUCUGGCCGAGAAACGUCGCCAAACCGCCGUCUUCUCUCCGCAGCCACUGCGACAAACACCCUACAAAAUGGCGGCAGCGCCGUCUCCUCACAACCCCCAGGCGGCCUCUAGCGCCACCUACGUCGCGCGAACGCGCCUGCGUGACAGAGGCUCGCGCGCUCCCGCCGCUCGCGUAAGGGGCGGGGCCCCUGUGGCGUCCAGGGCCGGGCCGGCCUUCCGCACUGCGGCUGCGCGGCUCAGGCGAGGCCCCGCCCCGACGCCUGGUGGGGGUGGGGGUGGGGUGCGGGGAACCUUCGGUUGUUUUCAUCGCGCCGGGGUGGGGGGGUGGGGACGCGGGCAGAGGGGCGGAGUAUGGAGGAAAUCCGGAGGAAAUACCUGUGCCCGGCACUAA